CGCCCCGCCUGGCGCUGCCGGCGCUGGCCCGGGAGACGGGAGCCGAGGACUACUGGUGAAACAUACUUAAGAUGAAUGCCAAGGGCAACCUGGAGAAGGAAGAGAAGCAGCCAAAAAGUGAAUCCUGCAAAAGGAGCAUUCGUGAGGGAGGUGGCAUCAAAAUACAAGAAACCAUGGACAAAAACACCUGAGAGCAGAGAAGGAAAGGUCUUGAGCAAGGAAUCCAAAGGAAAUAAUUUUGUGUUUUUGAUCAAUUGCAAGUCAAGGUCUGCUUAGCACUUUAAUAAAUCCCUCAAGAAGAAGCAUGAUUAAAAUUUUACCACUUGAAGCAUUCCUUCUUCAAGGAUAAUCUCAUGAUUGGAACAUCAUCUGGAGACCACCUGCAUAUUUUCCCUGGAGGAUGAGUCUCACAUGGCAGCAGUACUGUAGCAUUCUAAACUCAUCUAUAUGCCCACUCCCACAAAUGAUAUCCACAUUUCCUUCUCUAGCUCUGUUCUUCCCCCUGAACUCAUCUCUUAUCCUACUGUUUGCCUGACAUGCCCACUCGGAUGUCUGAUAUCAAAAACUUGGCAUGUGCCCCCACCAAAACCUGUUAAUUUGCCUCCUGCACACAUUGCCCUCACUUUUCCUCAUCUGCCACCUGAAGUCUUCCUCACCUCAAAAAAUGGUGACUCCAUUGCAGCAAUUGCUCCAGCCAAAAAUUAUGGAGUCAUCUCCACUCCUCCCUUUCUCUCACACCCCAUGUUCCAUCCAUAAGGAAGUCCUGUGGGGUUCUGAUGACAUCUCACCUCUGUUGCAUAGCCCAGGCCACUACUCCUUGUGUCAGAACUAGUGCAGUAGCCCCCAAAGUCAUCUUUUCCCCCACAGUUUGCUCCCCCUAUAGUAGCUGGUGUGAUCAUUUUAAAUAUAAAUCAGAUCAUCUUACCUUCAAGCCAUCUGACAGUUUAAUGCUUUUGGAAUGAGUAUCAAAUUCUACCAUGAUGUCCAGGGCCUUUCAUGAUAACACCAUGACGUCAUUACCUGAUUGGCGUGACUAAUUUUUCGUAGUACUUAUUACCACCUGAUGUUACAUUAUAUAUUUUUUGGUUUGUUUUCUACUUCUCCUCCACUAGAAUGUAAGCACCAAAAGAGUAAGAACUUUAUAUGUUAUGGACAUGGCAAUAUACCCAGCACUUAGAGUAGCAAGUGAUCAAUAAAUAUUUAUGAAAAUGAGAUAUUUUGGCCUCAUACUACAUAGAAGCUGUGCUUGAAUGCCUCAUGCAGCUACUGAAAAUACCAGGUCUGCC